GUGAAUAUAGUUUAACAAAAACCCUAACUUGUGAUUUUAGAAAUGAGAGUUAACACCUCCCUAUUCACC
rnacentral:tRNA from 1 species